rnacentral:rRNA from 1 species
AGUGAACGCUGGCGGUAGGCCUAACACAUGCAAGUCGAACGGCAGCACAGUAAGAGCUUGCUCUUACGGGUGGCGAGUGGCGGACGGGUGAGGAAUACAUCGGAGUCUACUUUUUCGUGGGGGAUAACGUAGGGAAACUUACGCUAAUACCGCAUACGACCUACGGGUGAAAGCAGGGGAUCUUCGGACCUUGCGCGAUUGAAUGAGCCGAUGUCGGAUUAGCUAGUUGGCGGGGUAAAGGCCCACCAAGGCGACGAUCCGUAGCUGGUCUGAGAGGAUGAUCAGCCACACUGGAACUGAGACACGGUCCAGACUCCUACGGGAGGCAGCAGUAGGGAAUAUUGGACAAUGGGCGCAAGCCUGGUCCAGCCGUACCGCGUGGGUGAAGAAGGCCUUCGGGUUGUAAAGCCCUUUUGUUGGGAAAGAAAAACAGCAGGUUAAUACCCCGCUGUUCUGACGGUACCAAAAGAAUAAGCACCGGCUAACUUCGUG